CAGUGGGGAAUUUUCCGCAAUGGGCGAAAGCCUGACGGAGCAACGCCGCGUGAGGGAGGAAGGUCUUUGGAUUGUAAACCUCUUUUCUCAAGGAAGAAGUUCUGACGGUACUUGAGGAAUCAGCCUCGGCUAACUCCGUGCCAGCAGCCGCGGUAAUACGGGGGAGGCAAGCGUUAUCCGGAAUUAUUGGGCGUAAAGCGUCCGCAGGUGGUCAGCCAAGUCUGCUGUCAAAUCAGGUUGCUUAACGACCUAAAGGCGGUGGAAACUGGCAGACUAGAGAGCAGUAGGGGUAGCAGGAAUUCCCAGUGUAGCGGUGAAAUGCGUAGAGAUUGGGAAGAACAUCGGUGGCGAAAGCGUGCUACUGGGCUGUAUCUGACACUCAGGGACGAAAGCUAGGGGAGCGAAAGGGAUUAGAUACCCUUGUAGUC
rnacentral:rRNA from 1 species